rnacentral:lncRNA from 1 species
ACCCCUUCCUCUCCUUUAUUCCACGUGAUGAGACUUGGGCCGGUCUCUCUCUCUUCCCACCUCUCCAGCUGGUUCUCUCUCUUCCCCAUUCUCUUACCCUUCUCUCUCUCUUCCCCUCCCCUCAUACCCGAGCCUCUUUCUCUCUCUCUGCGGCCUCCUUUUCUCUGCUGGCGCUCUCUCUUCCCUCCUCCCCCCUCUGCAGUUGCCCCUUUCUCUCUCUCUUUACCCCUCUUCUAUCUGACCAUCUCUCUCUCUUCUCAUCUUCUCCUAGCCGAGCCUCUCUCUAUCCCCCUCUCCUCCAGCUGACGUUCUCUCUCUACACACCGAACCCCCCUCACCUCUCCACCUGCCCCUCUCUUUCUUCCAUCCAUGGUCUCUCUCUUCUCCCUUAUCCCUCUACCGCUGGGUCUCUCUAUCUCUUUACCCUUCUUCUA